GCUGUCAUAGUAUAGUGGUUAGUACUUCGCGUUGUGGCCGCGACAACCCAGGCUCGAAUCCUGGUGACAGCA
rfam:Tetranychus urticae London genomic scaffold, scaffold_3